UUAUUGUCUGUGGCACCUACGGUUAUGCAAUAACACGAACAAAUUAGCGCAAUUGUUAAUAGCCGUCCCUAGAUGCGAUGUUUAGACAGCACGUGUCUUUGAGGAGACCAUAUUAUCAAGCCUUGUUCAAGUCUUGAUGUGCUGAUCGUCCAGUAUUUUAUCCUACAAUGUAACUUAUGGCAAACUAUAAGAUCCUGAUGAAUUUUGACCAAGCAUUUAACAUUAAAUACGAGUUGGGAUUCGUAAAUUACGAAGUGAAGCAAUUUACUGAUGUUCAGUUCUUCCAAGUGUAACAAAAUCGAAUCCUUCGAAACAGCUGAAAACCCAGAUCUGAAUUCUUGUUGAUAAAAAUGGGCAGUUUGUAAAGCACCAUCUAAAGAGUAUGCAUAUAUCUAUCGGAAAGCUGACUUUAGCUUUGAGCAAGUUAAUCAUCUGCCAAAACUUUGGAACCUUCACACUCCACUUCAUUUGGUGUUAACCAUCAUCAACCUUGAUGUUCACAAGUUCAAUGGAUCUAAGCCUUGUAAAUAAGGGCCUGGGAGUGACUUUUUUAUGUAAAGCAGUAGUAAGUCUAAAGAUGCAUUUUAAAUAUAUUUGGAGCUUGUUUACCAAUCCUCGGAGCUCGUUUUCAAAUAGAUUUACCAAAAUAGAUAUUUAGCUUAAAUUCUUAAAUUGUACAUGUGGACGCAAAACAUAAUGCAGUAAAUAUGAAAUGAACUGUUAAUGUAUAAAACUUAAACCAUCUUUGUAAUGUUUAUUUUCCAGUUCAAGCUAUAAAACUGGCAAUUACAUGAAAAUUGUUUUUUUUUUUAGAACAAGUUCAAAAACAAAUGAGACAGGCUUCAAUACGAAAAUUUGAUUUUUGAUGCCGAAUUCUGUAGAAACAAAUCUAUGAAAACUUUCAGUAUUGUUUAAUAAAGCAAAAGCAUUAAUUCCAAUCUUGCAUUAGUUAGGAUUAAACUUGCAAAAGAUGCCAUUUAAAUACAUAUUACUUACACCUGCUUGCAGAUCCUGUUCUUUCAUCUGGUCACAAUACACAAGUUCCUUUAAUCAAGGGUGUAUGCUCUUCUAUCUUUUAAAAAAAUUAUUGCUAUGCAACUCGCAAAUAACUUUCACUUGUAAGUUAAUUUAUUGAUGAAUGCGUUCAAAUUUUAUCUUGUUUUCUUAUCUAAUGAGUGAAAUUAAGAAUACAUGUAAAAUCACUUCUAAUAUCAUAAUUUAGGUUCAGCAAAUUUCGAGCCUUACCGGUCAGCUAUUUUACUCCACGUAUGAAUAUUUGGGGUGUAUUUUGCGACUAGAGUAGGUUCUUUACUACACAUUUUCGGAUUCUCGCACCUCUUGUGAUUUAACUCCUUAUUACAAAGUUAGAGAUAAUAGACAAAAUAAUAAGCAAAUUUUCUCUAUUCUAGGGAAGAAUCCGCGCGCGCAAUGCUAAGAUUUCGAAUUGAUAAAAAUGUGUGCGAAACAACUUAACAUUCAUCGUAUGUAAAAUUUCAAUGGUAGAACUAGCCAAUUUCGACGAGUAUUGAAUAAUCGGAUUACUAGGCUUCAACAACUGGUUGAAAGUAUGAAGAUAAGCUUCUUUGAAAGAAAUUAAAGUAUCAGUAGGAUAGGUCAAGUCUUAAAUAAUGGGUUGGAAGCUCGUGUGGGUCGCGAUAACGAACUGUAAGGUAACACCUUCAAAAUUUCUCGAAUUUGACAAGAUGAAUUCGAAUUCAUCUUGAUCAUAAACUUUUUAAUCUUAUUAAACUAACAUUUAACCACUUUAUAUCGUGUAACAUGGGUUGAUAAUUCAGUUUCGGUUGUAUUUACCUUCAUACCUCAAGUUUCGAAUAUUGUUAGUCAUUGGUGGCUUCAUCGAGACUUUGACUUGAAAUGAAUAAUAAAUGGCCCCAGGAUAGGAAGGGAAGGAAGUUUGAACUUAUUGAGAUAAAAAUGGAGGGCGGGAUAGGUACCAGCCGGCUGGUAAGAGGGUGGGAAUGAGAAUGCUAGAUAAUUUCCUGUUACCCUUACUUUGUAAAGAAGCUUAACUUAUACUUUCAGCUUUCAAAUAACGGGCACAUCAGAUUCACAAAUUGAGCGAUGCAUCAAAUUUACAUAGUCCCCAUUUAACAUCCGGUAAUGAAAGUAAACUAAAUAUAGCAAUCCGGUUCUCGCUUCUUAGUAUUGAAAAUUUCAUCAAGAUCUGUAUCCCUCUUGAGCAAAGUUAACUGAACUUCAAUUUGAAGUUAUAUAUUUCGCAUCGUUUUCCAGGUUAUUGAAUAUGAAAAACUAGGCUAACUGUAUGGUCAUCGGUAUUUCAUCUGAAUAUUCAUAUUAAGAGUCGAAUAGCUGCUUGGUAUUGCGUCGUCAAUUAAUUUUUCUUAGUUAAAUCGCAUGGAGCAGGCUGAUUCUCCAUUCCUUGUACGAACAUCUGGAAAGUUGAAGUUUAAAUAUCAAAUUUCUAAGGGACCUCAAUCGAACGAAAUUCAAUUUUAUUAAAUUACUUAAAUACAUUGAUAAAAGCUUAUCAAUACAUUGAACAAAGUACCAACUUUCUUUGCAUUUACAAGUUCUAACAUAUUCGUUCAAGCAUAAUUCGAAUAAUUUCUAUUUUGCUUAGUCUUAAUAUUCUGGCAACAAAUUUAUUUUAUAUUCAGAGGAUUGGUGAACUGCUAUUGAGCAAUAUGCUGUAAUCUCAGAAUGUGAUUGUUUUACUAUGCUUGUUAAUUAGCUGAUAGUUUAAUCCUAAUUUUAUAUACGAUCUAUACUUUAUCAAAAGUUUUCUUACAUGACAUCAGUGCUAAUUAAAUUUGCUAAGCAAAAAUGUAUAUAAUCUGAUUGUAAAUGAAUUUAAUGUUCUCUUAUAUUUCCUGAAUAUCCAGCAACCUUCUGCUGACGCAAAGCCAUUAUUAGAUUACCGAUGUGUUUAAUUGCUCCUAAUUUAUGCUCAAAAUAUUUAUGUAGAAUUGUAUUGAAUAUUUAUGUAGAAUUGAAUAUACCAAGGCUGGGUGAUGCUGUAAUAAACCUUCACUUAAAAUGGG